rnacentral:lncRNA from 1 species
AUCUCAAAAUUGUUCUGACCUUAGAAAAAUUAAAUCAUGUUCUCGAUCAGGAUCUCGUAGUGCUACCAAACCAUCCUACUACUAAGCAAAGAGGUACUUUUGAGAAGUGGAUGGAUGAAGACAGUCAGAUCAAGUGCUAUGUGCUGACGUCCAUAUCAAAUGAGUUGUAAAGUCAGCAUGAGCAUAUGCCCACUGCCCGGGCC